AGCGAACGCUGGCGGCAGGCUUAACACAUGCAAGUCGAACGCCCGGGCAACCGGGAGUGGCAGACGGGUGAGUAACGCGUGGGAACAUGCCCUUUGGUUCGGAAUAACUCAGGGAAACUUGAGCUAAUACCGGAUAAGCCCGAGAGGGGAAAGAUUUAUCGCCGAAGGAUUGGCCCGCGUCCGAUUAGCUAGUUGGUGUGGUAAUGGCGCACCAAGGCGACGAUCGGUAGCUGGUCUGAGAGGAUGAUCAGCCACACUGGGACUGAGACACGGCCCAGACUCCUACGGGAGGCAGCAGUGGGGAAUAUUGGACAAUGGGGGCAACCCUGAUCCAGCCAUGCCGCGUGAGUGAUGAAGGCCCUAGGGUUGUAAAGCUCUUUCGGCGGGGACGAUAAUGACGGUACCCGCAGAAGAAGCCCCGGCUAACUUCGUGCCAGCCGCCGCUGUAACAC
rnacentral:rRNA from 1 species